rnacentral:tRNA from 1 species
UCCCUCAUAGCUUAGUUGGUAAAGAAUCUGUCUGCAAUGCAGGAGACCCAGGUUCGAUCCCUGGGUUGGAA